GACGAACGCUGGCGGCGUGCUUAACACAUGCAAGUCGAACGGAAAGGCCCUGCUUGCCGGGUACUCGAGUGGCGAACGGGUGAGUAACACGUGGGUGAUCUGCCCUGCACUUCGGGAUAAGCCUGGGAAACUGGUUCUAAUACCGGAUAGGAGCAAUUUUUAGUGUGAUGGUUGGAAAGUUUUUUCGGUGUAGGAUGAGCUCGCGGCCUAUCAGCUUGUUGGUGGGGUAAUGGCCUACCAAGGCGGCGACGGGUAGCCGGCCUGAGAGGGUGGACGGACACAUUGGGACUGAGAUACGGCCCAGACUCCUACGGGAGGCAGCAGUGGGGAAUAUUGCACAAUGGGCGCAAGCCUGAUGCAGCGACGCCGCGUGGGGGAUGACGGCCUUCGGGUUGUAAACUCCUUUCGCUAGGGACGAAGCUUUUUGUGGCGGUACCUAGAUAAGAAGCACCGGCUAACUACGUG
rnacentral:rRNA from 1 species